AGAGUUUGAUCCUGGCUCAGGAUGAACGCUGGCGGCGUGCUUAACACAUGCAAGUCGAACGAUGAUCUCCAGCUUGCUGGGGGGAUUAGUGGCGAACGGGUGAGUAACACGUGAGUAACCUGCCCUUAACUCUGGGAUAAGCCUGGGAAACUGGGUCUAAUACCGGAUAUGACUCCUCAUCGCAUGGUGGGGGGUGGAAAGCUUUAUUGUGGUUUUGGAUGGACUCGCGGCCUAUCAGCUUGUUGGUGAGGUAAUGGCUCACCAAGGCGACGACGGGUAGCCGGCCUGAGAGGGUGACCGGCCACACUGGGACUGAGACACGGCCCAGACUCCUACGGGAGGCAGCAGUGGGGAAUAUUGCACAAUGGGCGGAAGCCUGAUGCAGCGACGCCGCGUGAGGGAUGACGGCCUUCGGGUUGUAAACCUCUUUCAGUAGGGAAGAAGCGAAAGUGACGGUACCUGCAGAAGAAGCGCCGGCUAACUACGUGCCAGCCGCCGCGGU
rnacentral:rRNA from 1 species